UCCGCGGGGCAGCGCCGUGCUGCCGCUCCGCAGGGCCCGGCUGACCCCGCGGGAGCUUCCCCGGUGCCCCGCGGGUCCCUGCCCAGCCCCCGCCCGGGCAGGGGCUGCCGCGCCGUCAGACCGCGAUCGAGCGCGAUCGUGGUGCCCGUGCCCGGCUCCGUGGAGGUGUCACGGCGCUGGGCACAUCGCGCUGGAAGUGCUGUGUCAUUGUGCCAGAGGGCUGGGAACAAGUGCGGGAGAAGUUUACUGCUUUUUGACACUGGAGAUGAGAAUCGCAAGGCAGAGGAGGGACAAGGGCCGGAAACUUGAGCGUAAGGUGGAAAAAUGUGUGAAAAUGAAAUGCUGCGCUCUGUAGUUACUCUUAGUCUCUUUACCUAUUGAAGCACAGAUAUAUAUAUAUGCUAUUUUGUUUUUCGUAGGUACAAAUAUACUUAGUAAGGAAGUUAAAUUCAAUAAAACAACACAGUGUCCCAGAGAUAGUCUUGAAAACAUCCCUAUUAGGAUUGGACUGGUUUAGAUGAAGAUGAAGAUGCACAUGUCUGGGAAGACAACUGGGAUGAUGACAAUGUAGAAGAUGAUUUCUCGAAUCAGUUAAGAGCUGAAUUAGAAAAACAUGGAUACAAGAUGGAAACGUCAUAGCUUUUGCAGAAUAUGGAGUGGUUUAACACUGAACUGUGGAUAGACUUUAUUG